rnacentral:lncRNA from 12 species
UCUAACUGGAAAAUGAAGAGUCGAAAAGUCCCGAGGCCUUUCUGCCCUUCCCACUAAAAGGAAAAUGAACAGCCUGGUCAUAGGAUGAAUGUUGUCAUGGGUCACCAUCAAGAUCCUGACCUGCCUAAAUGAUGUGACAAAAGGAAAGAGGUCUAUUUAUUUGCUCUCCCGGAAAAGAGAACGUAUUUCAAGAUGUCAAAAUAUUUUGUUCGCCUUCAUUUGAUUGUAAGAGGAGCCUUAGGUGAGG